AGCAGAGACUGGACUCAGAUCUACGCAAUCUACGGUCUCGACCAGUUGCACACCAUUCUCUUCUUUCUCUUCAACGCUGUCCUAUUUACCGUUCUGUCACUCCUCUACCUCACUUAUUUCAACCCCAUCACCCUCUUUUUCCACCGCCUCCUCCCCAUCGACACCGCCCGUUUUGCCGCCGGGUUCACUGGCUCCGUCACCGCCCUUUCCGCCCUCUGCCUCUUCUUUGCAUCCGGACACUUCCUAUACUCCUCACUCCCCCUCCACUACGACGUCGCCCAGCGCAUGGUCGGCUCAGUCAACGAAUGGUCGACCGUCAAGCACGCC
rnacentral:lncRNA from 1 species